rnacentral:lncRNA from 1 species
UGGCGGAGAACGCCGCCGCAGUGUUUGACCUCUAGCGGUGAAGGGGGAAGGGGAAGAGGAAAGGAGAGAAGUGGUGUCAGGGACAGGCUUGAAGAUUCCUGAUGUCUCAGCACCCAGCACGGCUGUCAGCCUCGGCAGGAGGAAGACCACGGAAAGGAGAGAUGACCAUGUGACCAGGAAAACCCCUCUACAAGGAAGCAUACAUAGUGGGUCAAGGAGAGGGUGUGGACUGGAGGAAAUCUAAGUCCGUGGAGACGUAGCCCUCUGGCUCUAACCUGUGAGGACGGGGUUCCCCCUGCCUCGUGGACUCUGCUCUCCAGAGCCUGGGACCCUGGCAGGUGCUUCGGAUGAAGGAGCCGGGAGGAGCCGACUGCCUUUCCUUCCCGCCGGGAUCCGCGAAAACGUGUGGUCGGGACUCCGAGCGCGGAACCCUCAAGGGGAAGAAGAGGCCCCGUGGGGAACGCGCAGCGUGUCAGGGCUGGCACCAGCUCCGUUCUGGAAAAGAAAUUGCGACGAAAAGAGACGGCAGCCGUGACCUCUGCUCUGUAUUUCCUUCCUCUUCGGAGAGGAAGAUGGAAUUUAGUAGUUUAUUGAGGGGCGGGAGAUCCUGGCUAGCGCAGAGUGUAGCCAUCGUUUUCGGCUCUGGCACACUCGAGGGCUGUCAUUCACAUGUGUAAUAGAUACGAAUUCGGAAAGAUCCAGUGGAAAGAAUACUGCAACAACUUCUCGCAAUUACUUCGAUAAUUCGCAAUUGCUCUAUUAA